rnacentral:snoRNA from 1 species
UCCAAUUGUAGGCAAUUGCCUAGGUUGCCUUAUACCUAGGGGAGUGUUAUACUCAUGGGAGAAAAGCAGCCAAUAGCUGGUGAGCACUCAGCCUGGUUAAUACCAAAUUUGUGUUAACUAU